rnacentral:ncRNA from 1 species
UUAUAACCUGUGAAAAGAAGUAGUAAACUUAACAGUUACAUUUAAGAGAGCUGUUUAUGGUGGGAUGCAGUAUGUAUACUUAAGUUGAAUGGAUCUUUGAGGUUUUUAACUGAAACUUUUAGUAGGUUAAAACGUUUGUCUAACGUUAUAUAGGCAGGAUAUGAAUGUAUCUUCAAAGAAGAGAUUACUACUCUUGAAUUUAGGUGGCACCGCGUAAAUAACGCCCUAUGG